AUGGUGCUGUCUUGGGGACAGGGACCUGCUCUAUUCGUCUUUGUUUCCUUAUAGACACAGCACCGAGGAACGCUUAAUGUAAUCCUCCUUACCUUGGAUUGUGCCAACUUUGAUACGGGAAAAACUCUUUGCUUUGUGUGUGAUGGGGGUGCAGCAGUGACCGUGGAAGGCAGAUUGUACUUAAGAAAUACGUCUAGUGGCUAUGCUGGCUUUCUCCGGCUUGGAAGUAUUCUUAAGACAUUUUAUUAACAUAAAAAGCCCAACUCAAAGGCCACCUCUUUUAGUCUCCUUCAGGAAGUCACCUCAUGCCUCCUAGAUGCCCUUUCCAUUUUAGGUCGAGGUUCUUGGUGGGCGUGGCUAUUCUCUACGUGGUCCCUCUUUAAUCAGUAACUUCCCCUAACUCCUAACUUAGUAACUAUUUUAGUAACUUCCCCUAACUCCUGAGCCACCUCCUUAAACACUUCGCAGAAUUUGUUGAGUGAAUCGUUGUAUUUUUAAGGCCAAGUCCACCCCUAAUAAGUCUCGGACCAAGCUACGUGGGAAAAUAAAAUUUCAGGAAGACUUAAACCCAAAGUACUAUCCUAUGCAGUAGUCUUCUUUGUCAGGAGCACUUUAUUUUACUUAAUAAAUUUGUAUAUUUUAAUAGCCUUACCCUGAUUUUGAAAAGCCAUUAUAUUUUUCUGAUGAUUAGUGUCAAAAUUGAAUAAUCAAAUGCUGUUCUUGAGGUAAUUAAAUAGGGAUAAUUAAUAUAUCUAAGUUCGGUUUUCCAUGUUUGUAGGCCUAAGGCAAGAGAUUUCUGGAAAGCUUUUUAACUCACUGAAGAAAUCAAGCCCAAGAAUAAGUCACUGAAUGCCUUAGCUGGGUCCAAGCUUACCUCCAGUGUGCAGCACUGGGAGUCAGCAGUCCUUCCCCCAUUGCCAGGUUCAGGGCAGACAAACCUCUCCAACCAUGAAAUGCUCAGGUUCUCUUACACAGGAAUUAACCAUGUCCUUUGAUUAGCCUGAGGCUCUAGAGCCCCAUGAGAACUGAGUUUAUAUCUAUAAUUGGAGCUUAGACAUAUACAGACAUGUUUGAUGGAAGGCAGAUUUCCCAUGAAGCUAAUGAAGCUUACUUUAAGGCCCCUCUCUGGCACAAGUUUCUUCCAAGGCCUUGCAUCUAAUUGUGUAUUUGUAAGCAUUUGUAUUCUUGUUCUUCAAGCCUCCCACCCCCAAUAGCUGUGUCGUAAUUAGAGCCCACCAUACCUGAACCUCCCCUGAACCUCCAUUGGGAGCAGGAGGGGUGAUAAUGGAAGUUUGUUCCCAGGAAAGGACAAUGAAACUUCUGGGACAAUAAUAAUAAAAGAAGAAUUUACUGACCAGGUUGGUACAGCUGUGUUGGAGAGCAGCUGGAGUUGAACCCCCACCCCCACCCCGCCCCGAUCCCCCUGCCACAUCAUCCUCUCUUCCCGACAGCCAAGUACCUUGGGAUGGAGAGAACUAGGGGUUAAAACUGAAAGGACUAUCACCAAGGACCCUCUGAAAGCUCUGAUUAGCGAUAGACCUCUCUAAACUCCUUUUAGGAAUUAGAGAGCCCUGGGCAUUUGGCAGGUGGAGGCAGGCUAUUGAGCUGGCAGAAUCAGGGAAAACCAGCUAAACCAGUGGUUCUCAAAGUAUCAUCCCCAGACCAGCAGCAUCAGCAUCACCUGGGAACGUGUCAGGCAUGAGAAUUGGCUGACUCUCACCCAGACAGGAGGAAUCAGAAACUCUGGGUUGAUGUCCUGCACUUUGUGUUUUAACAAACCACUGGGUGAUUCUGCUCCACGCUCAAGUUUGAGACUGUUGCACUAAAUUGAUACGUGGGGGGAACUACAAAUUAUCAGGGCUCUUCCCUUCUACUCACUCUGUUCUCUACCCAGGUUAGUAAACUACUCUGGAAAGCAGAGUUAAAACGGACACAGAUGAAUUUGAACUUAAACCCCAGCCCUGCCCUUAAUAGCUGUCUGAUGCUAGGCAAAUUAUUCAACUAGGGAGUUCUCAUUGUGGUGCAGUGAAAACGAAUCUGACUAGUAUCUAUGAGGAUGUGGGUUCAAUCCCUGGCCUUACUCAGUGGGUUAAGGAUCCGGCGUUGCCGUGAGCUGUGAUGUAAGUUGCAGAUGUGGCUCAGGUCUGGCAUUGCUGUGGCUGUGGUGUAGGCCAGCAGCUGUAGCUCCAAUUGGACCCCUAGCCAGGGAACCUCCAUAUACCUCGGGUGCAGCCCUAAAAAGACAAAAAUAAACAAAUAAAUAAAACAUAAGCCAUCGAUCGAAUGGCCCUCCUACAAGGGCUCCCAUCUCAGGGUAGAAGCCAAAGCUCUUUUUCUGGCCCACAUGGCUCUAUGCCACCUGGCUCCUCAUGAUCUUUGACUUCCAUUUGGACUGUACUCCUCUGGGCUCAGUUUACUUCAGCUGAACUCGCUACAUUUUGUUCCUCAGACCCACGUGGGAUGCUUCUGCUCCAGGGCCUGUGCCUCAGUUCUUCCCUGUAUCUUCCCUGUGCGAUCUCUUCCCCCAGUUUCCUGCUUGGCUCACGUCUCACCAUCUUCCAGUCUUGGCUCAGUUAUCAUGUUCUCCAUGAAGCAUACGCUGACCACCAUUGUCCCAAUCCUCCCACCCCCAAGUCCCAGUCCUGCUACCUUGUGCUCAUUUUUCCCCCUUUAUCCAUAAAAUGCAUCAUUUUUUAUAAUACUGUAUAAUUCAUUUAUUCACUAUGUAUUAGUUUUUAUCUGUUUUUCAGCCCCAUCUGUUUUGUUGAUUUAUAUAUCCCAAGCUUCUAGAAUAUAGUAGGCUGUCAGUAACACUUAUAGAGUGGAUGGAUGGAUGGAUGGAUGGAUGAUACCAAAAUACAAAGAGAAGUAAGACACAGUCCUUUCCCUCAGGGGAACUUAAAGUAUAGUGGAUAAGAUAGACAUAUACAAAAUGUAAUUGGAACGAGUGAACUAAAGGAGAGAAGAGGAAGAAUAUUAAAUACAGGCAAUUCUUUAUUACCUUUAUUUAUCCAGCCUUUUCAAUUUCUUCAACUAAUUUUUCUUUGUUUUUAGUUCUCUUUCAUCUAGUUCAGGGCAUGGAUAAAGCCCACAGCAGUAAGUGAGUCAGAAGAAAUGUAGCAUAUUGACAACUGUCUUUGAUAUACAGGGUAAUCUACUUAUUUUGUCUGCUGUGUGCCUUAUAUCUUGGUAGGUUUCCCAUAGCAUGCAGAAGUUCCCAGGCCAGGGACUGAACCCAUGCCACAGCAGCAACCAAGCCACAGUAUUGACAACACCAGAUCCUUAACCCACAGAGCCACCAGGGAACUCCACCUUGGUGUUGUGUUUUUUCUUUUUCUUGGUGUUAUCCUUAAAAAGACAAAAAAAAAUUAACUCAUGAGGCCAUAGUCUGUUCAAUUACUAGGUAAAUUGCUGUAGCCUCGAGAAGGACCAAAAAACCUCAGGUUCACGAUGCAGGAUGAGUAUAGUAGCUUGGAAGGUGGUAGGCUCAGCCCACUACUUCUAUGGAUUUCAUCCUAUUUGUAGCUCCUUACUCAGAUAUUCCAAGAAAACUGGAUGCCUUUGCAGUUUCCAAAUUCACUGGAACUAAGGUCUUACUGAUGGCCAUACUGCUACCAUGUUUACACUUCUACUAAUAAAGCAUAUUGCAUUUAGAUGCUGAAAGUAACUAUGAUUUUGUUCAAUAUUUUCCUUCCAAGCUGACUGACACAUUUUACAAGCCUAUAUUAAUCUUUCUAGCAUCCUCAAGAAAUAUUUCCAUGCCAAACACCCUAGGCUGAAAUGAACCAAAAUUUCAGCCUGCUGCUUCAGAGUCUCAACUGAUUCCAGUACGUGCCUAACUCUUUCUCUCCUGGAAUAAUUAUUAAUAAUUGUGUGACUUUUUGAGAUACUUCAUGUGGUUUAGUGGUCUUUCUAUUAAAAGGAGGGAAAUAAUAUUCUUGAGGACAGAGGAUCCCUCCAGACUUUUCCCUGCUCUUCCACCUCCUCUCCCAUUAGCCUCUCCCACACUCACUAAGAUCUUUGAUGGGGAGUUUUAGGCCACCUCGAAUUUCUGCACUUUCCUAGACACCAUCAUUAUUAAAGAAACCUACUUCAGCCAUCACUGAUCUGUACUUAAGAUGUCACGGUCAGAUGUGAAUUAGCAGCCUUGGAAAGCCACUCAGCUGUGGUGGGGGGAUGAGACUGAAUAAAAUCUUCACAGACUUUGGUGUUCCUGCCUCUCCCUCUUCUGUAACUGUAACUGUAAAAAGUUCAGGAAUAUUUAGUAAGGGUGAGGGCCAGUAUAUUUAAAAUGCUCGUAUGGAAACCAGAAAUGUUGAAAAACAAAAUGAAAAUGUUAACAUAAAAGAUGAAUAUUAUCUCUGCCAGGUCUAGCAUGAGUUCCCUAAAUGAGGAGUCAAGAAUUGACUGUUAUAUGUGGAGACAGUAACUGUGCUCAAGAGUAAGUAUCACAGCUGUGACACACACACAUACACACAAACACACACACACACGCAAACACACAAACACCACACACACAAAUACCACAAACACACACACAUGCCUAAGCAGUGUUUUCCAUAAAGUGAAUCCUACCUUCUCUAAAGAUCAUCUCUUGAAUUUCCAAUAUUUUUUUCCAAUAUUUUAACCACGAGUUAAAUUUCAUAGUUUUAAUUCUGGUAUUUUAAAGCCAUGCAACAUGGCCAGCCAAAUGUCUCUAGGACCAUGAAUUAACAAGUCUUUGAAUUAUUCUUAAAAGAAAAAUGUCAUCAAGGAGUAGUCGUUGCAAGUUCUCAGGGGGCAUGUCUGCGUUUCAGAGGUCAUCCACAUUACGGUUAGCAUCUGUGCUCGAUCCUAAAGGUUUCAUGCUUUGAAUCCUUUGAUAGCACACAGGCCGGGGAAUAUUAAUAGCAGAGUCCUUGAUCUUCAUAAAAUAUGUGUUCUGUCACACAAUGUAAAAUAGGAUUGCAAGUCAAAGAAUGAUUCUUUUUGUUGGAGAAAAUGUUUUCUUUCUGACAAUGUGGUCUUACUUGUUGUGAAUAGCCUCACACCAAAAAAUCCACAGGAUUUUAGAAUAAGAAAUGCACCGUUUAGUUGAGACUGGCUUUGGAACUAUCCCCUCCACUUAUAGCUAUUGUUUGGCAAUUAUGCAGCCUCUCUACAAGUGUUUCUGGCUUCAUGUUUUUUGGGGGUUUGGGGAGUCUUUUUUUGUCUUUGUCUUUUUAGGGCCAUACAAGUGGCAGAUGGAGGUUCCCAGGCCAGGGGUCAAAUCGGAGCUACAGCUGCCGGCCUACACCACAGCUAUAGCAACUCAGGAUCCAAGCUACGUCUUCGACCUACAGCACAGCUCACGGCAACACCAGAUCCUUAACCCACUGAGUGAGGCCAGGGAUCAAACACCACCUGUCCUUGUGGAUACUAAUGGGGUUAAUUAACCACUGAACCACAAUGCGAACUCCGGUUU
rnacentral:lncRNA from 1 species